rnacentral:rRNA from 1 species
AAUAGAUACCCAGGUAGUCCACGCCGUAAACGAUGAGUGCUAAGUGUUAGAGGGUUUCCGCCCUUUAGUGCUGCAGCAAACGCAUUAAGCACUCCGCCUGGGGAGUACGGCCGCAAGGCUGAAACUCAAAGGAAUUGACGGGGGCCCGCACAAGCGGUGGAGCAUGUGGUUUAAUUCGAAGCAACGCGAAGAACCUUACCAGGUCUUGACAUCCCCUGACAACCCUAGAGAUAGGGCGUUCCCCUUCGGGGGACAGGGUGACAGGUGGUGCAUGGUUGUCGUCAGCUCGUGUCGUGAGAUGUUGGGUUAAGUCCCGCAACGAGCGCAACCCUUGAUCUUAGUUGCCAGCAUUCAGUUGGGCACUCUAAGGUGACUGCCGGUGACAAACCGGAGGAAGGUGGGGAUGACGUCAAAUCAUCAUGCCCCUUAUGACCUGGGCUACACACGUGCUACAAUGGAUGGUACAAAGGGCUGCAAAACCGCGAGGUUAAGCGAAUCCCAUAAAACCAUUCUCAGUUCGGAUUGCAGGCUGC